rnacentral:rRNA from 1 species
GAUGAACGCUAGCGGCAGGCCUAAUACAUGCAAGCCGAACGGCAGGGUUUUCAGCAAUGGGAACCCUAGAGUGGCGUAAGGGUGCGUAACACGUAUGCAAUCUACCCUUAACAGGCGGAUAGGGUCCCCGAAAGGGGAAUUAAGCCGCCAUAGGAAUUUGGAUGGCAUCAUUUGAAAUUUAAAACUACGGUGGUUAAGGAUGAGCAUGCGCAUGAUUAGUUAGUUGGCGAGGUAACGGCCCACCAAGACUUUGAUCAUUAGGGGAACUGAGAGGUU